rnacentral:rRNA from 1 species
AUUGAACGCUGGCGGCAGGCCUAACACAUGCAAGUCGAGCGAGCGGCGGACGGGUGAGGAAUGUUUGGGAACCUGUCGGUUGGAGGGGGAUAACUACUGGAAACGGUAGCUAAUCCCGCAUACCAUCCGAUGUGCGCAGAUGGGAUUAGCUAGUGGGUGGGGUAAUGGCCUACCUGGGCGACGAUCCCUAGCUGGUCUGAGAGGAUGACCAGCCACACUGGGACUGAGACACGGCCCAGACUCCUACGGGAGGCAGCAGUGGGGAAUAUUCGGCAAUGGGCGAAAGCCUGAUCCAGCCAUGCCGCGUGUGUGAAGAAGGCCUUCGGAUUGUAAAGCACUGUCGGCAGGGAGGCGUUACCCGACGAAAAAGCACCGGCUAACUCCGUGCCAGCAGCCGCGGUAAUUC